rnacentral:lncRNA from 1 species
UUGGUAUAGAGGCGACCGGGGAGACAAGUUCACAAACAAAUGAUGAUCUAUGUCAAUAUUGCAUUCUGGCCGGUUGUCACAGAGUAGUGUUGGCCGGCUUGGAGGCAAAGCAUUAAGCUCCCAAGGUAAGUGAGUAAUCUGAAUAAUUUCUGCAGCAGUUUUGGCCAUCGCUCGAUAGACAGAUUCAAACCAAAGGCUGCUUCUUAGCACUCCCUGAUCAUACAAGACUCCCACUCAAGUAAAUAGAUUAAGCAUAUGUAAUCAACUAGUUUAGUGGUCAAAGGUUUAUCAAGUAUUUAUCGGUUCUUUUUAUUUCACCAUAUGUUAAACCCUAAUUCAAAACAUCAAAAUGACAAAAUGGAAAAAUCAAUACACGAAUAAGAAUAUAAGAUCGAGAACGAGAUAUUGACCUAGAAUUUCAUUUCCAAACCUAACAUUACCCUAACCUAACUGCCAGGAUCUCAAAAUUCAACGAGUAUUUACCUCGCAACUCAAAAUAUGCGUACAUACCAUCUCACUCAUUGUACCGAGAAUCAAAAUCGGUGGACACAAAACCACCGUAAACCAUCGUGCUACCACCGCCAUUUGCUCAUUCACGCGGGAAAAUAUUAAAAGUCGGUAGAUAUUUGUUUCAGGAAUUGUCAAACCUGACCCUGCCUCUACUCUCUUUUAUUAUU